AUUGAACGCUGGCGGCAGGCCUAACACAUGCAAGUCGAGCGGAUGAAGGGAGCUUGCUCCUGGAUUCAGCGGCGGACGGGCGAGUAAGGCAUAGGUAUCUGCCUGGCAGUGGGGGAUAACGUCAGGAAACGGGCGCUAAUACCGCAUCCGUCCUGAGGGAGAAAGUGGGGGAUCUUCGGACCUCACGCUAUCAGAUGAGCCUAGGUUGGAUUAGCUAGUUGGUGGGGUAAAGGCCUACCAAGGCGACGAUCCGUAACUGGUCUGAGAGGAUGAUCAGUCACACUGGAACUGAGACACGGUCCAGACUCCUACGGGAGGCAGCAGUGGGGAAUAUUGGACAAUGGGCGAAAGCCUGAUCCAGCCAUGCCGCGUGUGUGAAGAAGGUCUUCGGAUUGUAAAGCACUGUAAGUUGGGAAGAAGAGCAGUAAGUUAAUACCUUGCUGUUUUGACGUUACCAACAGAAUAAGCACCGGCUAACUUCGUG
rnacentral:rRNA from 1 species